rnacentral:pre_miRNA from 1 species
GGAUAGAUUAUCCCGUGCGGUCGGCCUUAUGUUGCGGUCUGUAUAACCCGACCGCAUGGGAUAAUCGAUUAUCCCAUGCGGUCGGGUUAUACAGACCGCAACAUAAGGCCGACCGCACGGGAUAAUCUAUUA